AUUGAACGCUGGCGGAAUGCUUUACACAUGCAAGUCGAACGGUAGAGGGGGCAACCCCUCGAGAGUGGCGAACGGGUGAGUAAUAUAUCGGAACGUGCCCAGUCGUGGGGGAUAACGUAGCGAAAGUUACGCUAAUACCGCAUACGAUCUAAGGAUGAAAGCGGGGGAUCGCAAGACCUCGCGCGAUUGGAGCGGCAGAUAUCAGAUUAGGUAGUUGGUGGGGUAAAGGCUCACCAAGCCAACGAUCUGUAGCUGGUCUGAGAGGACGACCAGCCACACUAGAACUGAGACACGGUCCAGACUCCUACGGGAGGCAGCAGUGGGGAAUUUUGGACAAUGGACGCAAGUCUGAUCCAGCCAUUCCGCGUGCAGGAUGAAGGCCCUCGGGUUGUAAACUGCUUUUGUACGGAACGAAAAGGUCUCUCUUAAUACGGGGGACUCAUGACGGUACCGUAAGAAUAAGCACCGGCUAACUACGUGCCAGCAGCCGCCGUAAGAC
rnacentral:rRNA from 1 species